GCUCGUAUAGCUCAGUGGACAGAGCACCGCGCUACGGACGCGGAGGUCGCAGGUUCGAGCCCUGCUGCGAGUGCCA
rnacentral:tRNA from 1 species